CGAGUGAGAAUGCCGGAAUGAGUAGCGAGAAUUAUGUGGGAAUCAUAAUGGCCGAAAAUCUAAGGUUUCUUGGGGAAGGUUCGUCCGCCCAAGGUAAGUCGGGAGCUAAGGCGAGGCCGAGAGGCGUAGUCGAUGCACAUACGGUAGAAAUUCCGUAACCACCGAAACUUAAGUUAGAGGGACACUUCGAGAUAGCGGAACCGCGGCGUUGGUAGACCGCGGCGAAAGGGACUGAAAUAUAGUAGGGAAGUCCGCGAUGCUCGGAGGCGAGAAAAGCUCUAAGGUAUGCUAAGGUGCCCGUACCGCAAACCGACACAGGUAGAUGAGGAGAGAAUCCUAAGGCCAACGGGAGAAGGGUUGUCAAGGAACUCGGCAAGUUGACCCCGUAACUUCGGAAGAAGGGGAGCCUCGAAAGAGGCCGCAGUGAAUAGGCCCAGGCAACUGUUUACCAAAAACACAGGUCUAUGCUAAAUCGAAAGAUGACGUAUAUGGGCUGACGCCUGCCCGGUGCCGGAAGGUUAAGAGGAGAUGUCAGGCAACGAAGCAUCGAAUUGAAGCCCCGGUAAACGGCGGCCGUAACUAUAACGGUCCUAAGGUAGCGAAAUUCCUUGUCAGGUAAGUUCUGACCCGCACGAAUGGCGUAAUGAUCUGGGCACUGUCUCGACAGCCCACCCGGCGAAAUUGUAGUACUGGUGAAGAUGCCAGUUACCCGCAACUAGACGGAAAGACCCCAUGGAGCUUUACUGCAGCUUAAUACUGGAAAUCGGUAAUUCAUGUACAGGAUAGGUGGGAGACGGAGAAGCAUGGUCGUCAGGUCAUGUGGAGUCGCCCUUGGGAUACCACUCUUGGAUUGCUGGUUUUCUAACCUGCGGCCGUGAAUCCGGUCGGGGGACACUGUUAGGCGGGCAGUUUGACUGGGGCGGUCGCCUCCAAAAAGGUAACGGAGGCGCUCAAAGGUUCGUUCAGCACGGACGGAAAUCGUGCAUUGAGUGUAAACGCAUAAACGAGCCUAACUGCGAGACCGACGGGUCGAGCAGUAACGAAAGUUGGAGUUAGUGAUCCGGUGGUAUGUGAGUGGAAAUGCCAUCGCUCAACGGAUAAAAGCUACCCUGGGGAUAACAGGCUGAUCUCCCCCAAGCGUCCACAGCGACGGGGAGGUUUGGCACCUCGAUGUCGGCUCGUCGCAUCCUGGGGCUGAAUUCGGUCCCAAGGGUUUGGCUGUUCGCCAAUUAAAGCGGCACGCGAGCUGGGUUCAGAACGUCGUGAGACAGUUCGGUCCCUAUCUGUUGCGGGCGUAAGAGAUUUGAAGGGAGCUGUCCUUAGUACGAGAGGACCGGGAUGGACGUACCUCUGGUGCACCAGUUGUCCUGCCAAGGGCAUAGCUGGGUAGCUAUGUACGGACGAGAUAAACGCUGAAAGCAUCUAAGCGUGAAACUCCCCCUAAGAUGAGAUCUCUCAUUCGAAAGAAGUAAGGACCCAGAGAGACGAUCUGGUUGAUAGGCGCGAGGUGGAAGUGCAGUAAUGUAUGGAGCUGACGCGUACUAAUAGUCCGAGGGCUUGACCU
rnacentral:rRNA from 1 species